UACACACAUAUCUGCGCAUAUACAUUCAGCACGUACACACACGCUCUAACACCAAUACAUAUGGCGAGGGUUCGUUGUGGACUCCAUUUGGCUUCGCUUGGGCACUUGAAUUGCCGUCACCUUCUUCAUCGUCGUCGUCUGUCUUUCCAGUACCUUCGUGCAGCGCAAUACGCGCGGUGUGUGUUGAUUCGCGCAGAGUUUCUUAUUUGCCGCCCGCUCAUUAAUUUUUUUGCAAUAUGUUGGCGCAGGUUCAGCGAAAACCCGUGCUCGGCCACAGUUCAGCGUUUGUGUUACCAGCGAAAUAAAACAUGCAUUUUAAUCAUUGCAAGCAAACUAAUUAAAAGCUAAAUAACCAAUUUAAAAUAUAUUCAACAAAAAUAAGACACAAUGUGAGCAUGUAUAAUGUGAAACUUAGGAGUUAAGUGCGAAUUGUCUGUAUUAUUUAAUUUAUGUUCGAUAAGUUUGCAUACAAAUACAAAAA